rnacentral:ncRNA from 15 species
UAAAUAUAUUAUGAUUACAGUGCAUGCGUAAUAGCAUACUUAAAUGGGAAUACGGUGUAAAUCCGUAACAGUCACGCUGCUGUAUGGUGGACGAAAACCCAAUAAUGUCACUGGAGAGGUUUCUCUGGGAAGGCGGGUAAGUAGGGUGAAGCUAAGUCAGAAUAUCUGCUGUAAUUACAGACAAUAUU